GUCCCACCACCUCACACAGCCAGACCCACCGGAGUCCAGGUGGCUGUGGACGCAUCUUUGACGCGGUGGAACUGUCAUUGGCUCCAUCCAUCUGUGGCACCAGAAUCUCCCUUCAUCACUCUUCUGAAAUGUGAUUUAGGCUUGUUUCAUGAAGCUAGAACAGGUCUCUUACUGACAGAUGAGGAUCAAUAAUUAAUUCUAUUAUGGUGAUACUUUGGGACAUUAAUGAAAAAAAACUACAGCAAAAAGUCUCAACAGAAGGAA